CCUACGGGGCGCAGCAGUGAGGAAUAUUGGUCAAUGGGCGCUAGCCUGAACCAGCCAAGUCGCGUGAAGGAUGACUGCCCUAUGGGUUGUAAACAUUUUCUACAUGGGAAUAAAGUGCAGUAUGUAUACUGUCUUGCAUGUACCUUAUGAAUAAGGAUCGGCGAACUCCGUGCCAGCAGCCGCGGUAAUACGGAGGAUCCGAGCGUUAUCCGGAUUUAUUGGGCUUAAAGGGAGCGUAGGCGGGUUGUUAAGUCAGUUGUGAAAGUGUGGGGCUCAACCGUAAAAUUGCAGUUGAUACUGGCAUCCUUGAGUACAGUAGAGGUAGGCGGAAUGCGUGGUGUAGCGGUGAAAUGCUUAGAGAUCACGAAGAACUCCGAUUGCGAAGACAGCCUGCUGGACUGUAACUGACGCUGAUGCUCGAAAGUGUGGGUAUCAAACAGGAUUAGAUACCCCUGUAGUC
rnacentral:rRNA from 1 species